UGGGGAAUAUUGCACAAUGGGGAAAGCCCUGAUGCAGCGACGCCGCGUGAAGGAAGAAGUAUCUCGGUAUGUAAACUUCUAUCAGCAGGGAAGAAAAUGACGGUACCUGACUAAGAAGCCCCGGCUAACUACGUGCCAGCAGCCGCGGUAAUACGUAGGUGGCAAGCGUUGUCCGGAAUUACUGGGUGUAAAGGGUGCGCAGGCGGGACUGCAAGUUGGAUGUGAAAUACCGGGGCUUAACCCCGGGCUGCAUCCAAACUGUGGUUCUUGAGUGGAGUAGAGGUAAGCGGAAUUCCGAGUGUAGCGGUGAAAUGCGUAGAUAUUCGGAGGAACACCAGUGGCGAAGGCGGCUUACUGGGCUCUAACUGACGCUGAGGCACGAAAGCAUGGGUAGCAAACAGGAUUAGAUACC
rnacentral:rRNA from 1 species